GGCCAGACUCCUACGGGAGGCAGCAGUGAGGAAUAUUGGUCAAUGGGCGCAAGCCUGAACCGGCCAAGUCGCGUGAGGGAUGACGGUCCUAUGGGUUGUAAACCUCUUUUGUCGGGGAGCAAAAGCCGGACGUGUCCGGCUGUGAGAGUACCCGAAGAAAAAGCAUCGGCUAACUCCGUGCCAGCAGCCGCGGUAAUACGGAGGAUGCGAGCGUUAUCCGGAUUUAUUGGGUUUAAAGGGUGCGUAGGCGGAAUGCCAAGUCAGGGGUAAAAUCGCGGGGCUCAACCUCGCUCCGCCGUUGAAACUGGCGUUCUUGAGUGGGCGAGAAGUAUGCGGAAUGCGUGGUGUAGCGGUGAAAUGCAUAGAUAUCACGCAGAACUCCGAUUGCGAAGGCAGCGUACCGGCGCCCAACUGACGCUGAAGCACGAAGGCGUGGGUAUCGAACAGGAUUAGAUACCCUUGUAA
rnacentral:rRNA from 1 species